rnacentral:rRNA from 1 species
UACGGGGGGGGCAAGCGUUGUUCGGAAUUACUGGGCGUAAAGCGUGCGCAGGCGGUGAUGUAAGACAGGUGUGAAAUCCCCGGGCUUAACCUGGGAAGUGCAUUUGAUACUGCGUCGCUAGAGUGCGAGAGAGGAGAGCGGAAUUCCCGGUGUAGGGGUGAAAUCCGUAGAUAUCGGGAGGAAUACCAAUGGCGUAGGCAGCUCUCUGGCUCGUAACUGACACUGAGAUUCGAAAGCAUGGGUAGCAAACAGG